AAGUAGAACGGAAUGAUGAACUCAACCAUUUGCACUUUUCAACCAGCCGAGAAAAAGCAGUGAAGUACAAGAGGCUCAAGUCGUUUUCACCAUCGAAAGUGCCGCAAUACGUUAAACUGGUGGAAGAGUUCAGGGAGCACACGGAAGGAAGCGAUGCCACACUGUCAAAAAAGAGGUACAAU